GUGAAUCAUCGAAUCUUUGAACGCAAAUUGCACUCUCCUCGGAGAGUAUGCCUGUUUGAGGGUCAGCCUAAAAAAAAUCGAAAUCGUUGCUGUUCGGCGGUGACGUUGGUGGGAAAUUGGGUUAUCUUAAACCUUUUGUUUUAAACGACUUAAAAUUUUCUUUUUGAUUCCUUGAACGUUUCUAUGAUUUAUUUUUUUAACCUUUUAGGUAACGGAUUUUUAUUGGACGUGGCCGCAA
rnacentral:misc_RNA from 1 species